rnacentral:rRNA from 1 species
AUUGAACGCUGGCGGCAGGCCUAACACAUGCAAGUCGAGCGAGCGGCGGACGGGUGAGUAAUGUAUGGGGAUCUGCCCGAUAGAGGGGGAUAACUACUGGAAACGGUGGCUAAUACCGCAUACUAUCGGAUGUACCCAGAUGGGAUUAGCUAGUAGGUGGGGUAAAGGCUCACCUAGGCGACGAUCUCUAGCUGGUCUGAGAGGAUGAUCAGCCACCCUGGAACUGAGUCACGGUCCAGACUCCUACGGGAGGCAGCAGUGGGGAAUAUUGCACAAUGGGCGCAAGCCUGAUGCAGCCAUGCCGCGUGUAUGAAGAAGGCCUUAGGGUUGUAAAGUACUUUCAGCGGGGAGGCGUUACCCGCAGAAGAAGCACCGGCUAACUCCGUGCCAGCAGCCGCGGUAAUUC